UGGGGUGGACAUGUCGAGAGGAGGAAAUUGGGGAUACAGGGCGCAUGAUAGAGUGGAGAGGGAGUUCUUGUAGGUUGGGCUAGGAAUUGGGCCUUUCUGAACUUUUUUUUUAGAAAUAUCGUAAGAAAAGAAAGAAACUUUUACACCCAAAUCUCUCCCAUCUCUUUCCGGACCAACCACUAGUUCUUUAUGUUGGUCAACAACCACAGCUAAACAAAGUUCUUCACUACUCUUACAGGAAGGACUCUCUUUCUGGAAAAA
rnacentral:lncRNA from 1 species